GUAGGUGAACCUGCGGAAGGAUCAUUAACACGUAUCCAACGUUAACCAACCUGUGAACAUACGUAAUUGUGCCUGAGUGGCGUUUUCCGCUGUUCGCAAGAACAAAGCUUUUAUUGGGCGGCGUUGCUCCUUAUUUCACCAAUUUUAACCCUUGUAAACUUACGAACUGAAACUUGCUUUUGCUAUUGAUCGGUAACCUGGUCAAUGGGCGGAAGUAUUUUACGAAACUUAAUACAACUUAGCAACGGGUAUCUUGGUUCAC
rnacentral:misc_RNA from 1 species